AACGAACGCUGGCGGCGUGCUUAACACAUGCAAGUCGCACGAGAAAACCGUAGCAAUACGGUGAGUAAAGUGGCGCACGGGUCAGUAACACGUGGAUAUCAACCUCCGGGAGGGGCACAACCUGUCGAAAGACGGGCUAAUUCCCCGUAAGACCACGAGAUCUUUGGAUUUUGAGGUAAAAGGUGGCCUCUACUUGUAAGCCAUCGCCUGGAGACGAGUCCGGGCACCAUUAGCUAGUUGGUAGGGUAACGGCCUACCAAGGCCAAGAUGGUUAGCUGGUCUGAGAGGACGACCAGCGACACUGGAACUGAGACACGGUCCAGACUCCUACGGGAGGCAGCAGUGGGGAAUAUUGGACAAUGGGCGAAAGCCUGAUCCAGCGACGCCGCGUGAGUGAUGAAGGCCUUCGGGUUGUAAAGCUCUGUCGGAGGGAACGAAUAGAGGCGACCUAAUACGUCGCUUUUUGACGGUACUCUCAAAGGAAGCACCGGCUAACUCUGUGCCAGCAGCCGCCGUAAGAC
rnacentral:rRNA from 1 species